UGUCCGGUAUCNUCCAAGUCUCCAUGAAUGGGGCCAGCAACCCAGAGAGGGUGUCNGGCCCGUANGACUGAGCCGCGACGGCGUAUUGGGUCUCUCCUUAGAGUCGGGUUGCUUGAGAGUGCAGCCCUAAGUGGGAGGUAAACUCCUUCUAAGGCUAAAUACGGCCACGAGACCGAUAGCGAACAAGUACCGCGAGGGAAAGUUGAAAAGAACUUUGAAGAGAGAGUUCAAUAGUGCGUGAAACCGUUCAGGGGGUUAAACGGGUGGGCCCUCGAAGGUCGAACGCUCCCUACUCGCGUUUCCGCUCGUCGGCCCGUGCCGCUUUUCCGAUCUCGCUACGGGACGGAGCGGUGCGGUAACUGGUGCGAGCGGGGGCGUUUAGUUAGAGAGCCAGUAGGACUCCGCAACCGUCUGGAGCAGUCGUCAGAAGGGCUCUGGUAGAAAGCCUCCUCGCGGGGUGGACUCCGGGGUUCCGGGCGAUCUCUCCGGCCGUGAACCGGCAUUCCUCUCGGCUGGCGUCCGUGACGAGCUUCCCUUCACGGGGGAGUUGUCGGUUGCGGGCGUCACCGGGGGACGCUAGCGGAGAGUAGAGUCGGGUCCCACCCGACCCGUCUUGAAACACGGACCAAGGAGUCUAACAUGUGCGCGAGUCGUCGGGAUUAUAACUAAACCCGAAGGCGCAAUGAAAGUGAAGAUCGACCUCGUCGUUGAUCUAGGGGAGAUCCCGU
rnacentral:rRNA from 1 species